GUAUUUUCUUUUCUGAUGAAUAUAAAAAUAAUUUUGUCAGGUCUAGCUUACUGAUUCUUACAUUAGAAAUUAAGGAUCAUGUAUAGUUGUUCUUUAUUGUAGAUUGUAUAUUUUGUUAAGAAUGUUUUCUAUGUGGUGUAUUUGCAGCCAAACAAAAUUUAAAAUGUUUUAAGUACUUUUUUUUCUAUUUUCUUCAGCUGGAUCUUCAUUUGCAAAAGGGCUGGACGUGAUCAGAGCAAAAGAAAGAGCGCUUUAUUCCCUAUUUUUACGCAAUGUUUGGAGGCCAUUCCCAUUGGAAGUGCAAACACACACUACAGUAACCACAUUAAGGUACGUAAUUUCUCCGAUAUUGCGAGCAUCCAGCUCAUUCAGUGUGUGGAGUGUGGAAUGUAUAGUCAGUCUUUCUCCGUCGCUAGUGAUAAUUUUAUCUGUGAGAAGUGCAAGUUAGUUUGCUCUUUGACGGAAAAGAUCCUAGCAUUAGAGAAGCACAUACAGAGUUUAGAUAGAAUUAGUAAACGUAAGAGCAGUCCAGGCUCUGCAGGGGAAAGUCUGGAUGCCCUAGGUGGAGUUAGCAUUACCUGUCUCUGGCAUUAUAGCCCUUGCAGCAGGGUGAGUGGGUGACGGUUUGGCAGCAUACUUGUAAAGCCAAAGCUAACUCUAAGGCUCGCCCACAGGAGCACCAUUCCUUUUCGCUUCACGUGUCCAACAGGUUUGCUCUCCUCGCUGAAGCACUCGCUGAGAAACCUAAAAAUGCUCUGGUUAUAGAAGACUCUAUUCUGAGGCACGUGAAAUUUAAGCCUUUAGGGCCUAACCAACCUUUAGGGGCAGCAGCACAGGUUUGGUGUAUACUGGUACGGCUUCCACAGUCAGAGGUCACUAAGAGUAACAUUAUAGAGGUGUGUAAAUUAGCAAAGGCAAUGUCCAAUGCAGUAAUUUGCUUUGGCCCCUUCCAAAUGCGGCGUGCAAUGUAGCUUACACCAGGUUAUGAACUGCUGGCUGUCUGAAUGGUCUCCAAAACCUAUGUGAGCUUCAUAAAUAAUUGGAGAAAUUUUGACAGCAAGGCUGG